rnacentral:ncRNA from 2 species
AAAAUCGUGCUAAUUCAAUAUAUUGCAGAAACCUUGUAGGCCU